GAUGAAGAACGUAGCGAAAUGCGAUACGUAAUGUGAAUUGCAGAAUUCAGUGAAUCAUCGAAUCUUUGAACGCAUAUUGCGCUCUCUGGUAUUCCGGAGAGCAUGCUUGUUUGAGUAUCAGUAAACACCUCAACUCCCUUUUCUUUUUUGAAAUGGGAGCUGGACUUGAGUGAUCCCAACACUUUUCUCACUGGAAAGUGGCGGGUCACUUGAAAUGCAGGUGCAGCUGGACUUUUCUCUGAGCUAUAAGCAUAUCUAUUUAGUCUGCCUAAAAAACAGAUUAUUACCUUUGCUGCAGCUAACAUAAAGGAGAUGAGUUCUUGUGCUGACUGAUGCAGGAUUCACAGAGACAGCUUUGCGGCUGACUUUGUAAACUCGAUCUCAAAUCAAGUAAGACUACCCGCUGAACUUAAGCAUAUCAAUAAGCUGAGGA
rnacentral:misc_RNA from 1 species